CACCAUGUGCCAUACAUGGUACUACUGAGAAAUAGCGUGGGUGUCACACAUAAAGUAUUUCUCUUGUCAUUUUUCACCAAUCAAUAGUUUCUUUUUAGUUGUUUAUUUUGUAAGAAAUGACAGGUACUCUAGCCUGUUUAAGAUAACGGAGAAAACCAAGUUCCUCUGGCCUUAAAAUUAGUAACGCAUGACCGCUGCUACCUUCUCCUCGAGCUGUUCUACCAACACGGAUCAUCUGGAGGAUCAUAUUGUACAAUCCAAUCAACAGCUGGUAUAUCAAGACCACGGGCGGCCACAUCAGUACAAAGGAGUAUACCAGAAGACGCGUUACAGAAUUGGAAAAAUGUUGUUGUUCUCUUCGUUUGUUUCUGUUUCCCCUAUUAAAUAAUUAAAAUAUGUAAUAUAAAA